CGGUGGACAUGUGUUAAUAUAAUGAGGUGGACCCGAGUAUGACGGUGGUGAUGGAGUUGGUGAGGGGGAACUUUUCGGGGGAGAUUUAUAGACGUAAGGUGAUGGUGAAGGUGAGGGAGAUGGUUGUUCUUUGGAUGGAGAUGGGGGAGAUUUGUAGACGUAAGGCGAUGGAGGAGAUUCAGUUGGGGGUGUUGAUGGUGAACUUGAUGGAGGGGGUUUGUAGGUGAAGGGCGAUGGAGGAGUUUCGGGGGAAGAUGAUGUUGGAGGAGGUGUUAGGCAUGCAUUGAUCGGAGGUGAUGGUGGAGGAGGAGGUGUUAGGCAUGCAUUGAUCGGAGGUGAUGGUGAUGGUGAAGUUGAUGGCGGAGACUUAUAGACGUAAGGAGAUGGAGGAGAUUCUUUUGGUGCCGGAGAUGGAGAUGGUGGAGAUUUAUAUACAAAAG
rnacentral:lncRNA from 1 species